UCCCCGAUAGCUCAGUUGGUAGAGCAAAUGACUGUUAAUCAUUGGGUCGCAGGUUCGAGUCCUGNNCUCGGGGAGCCA
rnacentral:tRNA from 1 species